ensembl:lncRNA
UUAAGGACUCGGCCAAAAUUUUUCUUGUAUUCCCUCAGAGGAAAACUAUCUACCUGCACUGAAACCAUGAAGUGUGGACAUUAUACCAGAGACUCAUCAUAAUUCAUUUUGACUUCCAUUAGGAAAAAUAAAGGAUUAAACAAUCUCCAAACCCUUACUUGGUGAUGCUGUCUGUGGACUAGCAGCACACAUGGAGUGUCCACCAAAACGUUUCUAAUUUGUGUUUCAAGUUAUAGUUCCCUGCAAAACAUGCAGCACCCAAAAAACCCCUAAAUACAGCCUGAGAGUUUUCCCUCAAAGGGGGCUGAAUUUCUACCUGAAAAUACUUCAUUCUCCUUAUUGGGCUGAGCUAGAAAAUACUGUAAGAAAGUACACAACCAUGAAUAUCUGAAAAGAGAUAUUUCCUUAACCAAUUAUUCUUCCCAUAAUUUUAACACCAUCAAUAAACAAUAGUGACUAUUUUUGACACUCCAGUAAGUUGCAUUUCUGACCAUCUUUCUCCCCAGUUUAACCUUCACUGAAGGAACUUAGAUGUUAAAAAAAUUACUAGAUUUUCACAUUGAAAUAGUACCAAAAAGGUCUAAACAAAUCUUUACCCAAACUACAAGAUAUUUUCCUACAUAAUUAUUUACAGAUUUCUUCUACAGCAGUAAAAAACAUGUUCCCCAUAAACAGAAAUAGGAUACAGCUGUACUUUUCUGUCCUGAACCAAAAUUAGACAGGAAUGACAAUCCCUAAUCCCUUCCCAUUAUCAAAUACAUAUUCAUGUGCAAGACUAUUAAUUUAAAAUAAUAAUUUCCCCACAGAUAAGUGUUGAUAGUACAAUUCCAAUGACAAAUCCCUAAGCAAUCAGUGUGUUAAGAUAUCAUUAUAGAUGCUUUCAUCUGCUAUACCAAUGAUUAGAAUUAUUACAAGUUUAAUAUCCCUCUCAGAUUGUUUACACUUCACAUAAGUAUCAUUUGUCUUUGGUGUUCUCAUUAAUACUUUAUUCAUUGUACCCUGUGCAGUGCUGAUUAAUCCCACAGAUGAGUCUGUUGCAGGAUACUGUAUAAAACCCUUAACUAUGGUGCCGAGCUACAUCAGGCCUUCCAUCAGUCCCCUUUGUGUCAGAGUUGUGAUUAUUUUCUUUAAUGCUGAUUCUUAACUACCAGUGCAGGAGCUCUGAUUUUACUCAGUUUUAUCAGUUGAGAUACAUUGCUGAAUCUCUUCUAAUUUACAUAAUUCAUUAAGAUAGGGAUAAAUGAGCCAUUUGAGCUCUAAGACUCUCCAUCUCAGACAUCUUUCAUUAAUAUAUUUUAUAAGUUUUUAAUGAAAAGUUUUCUGCAAGUCUUUCAUUUUUCACAUUUCACAGCUGGACUUCUUUCCUUCAUUAAUUUGAAUGCUACUUUCCUGUCAGAAGCCAGGCCUAGAUCCUGGAAAUAUCUAUACACAUGCCUAGGUUACAACACUUUACCUCUCAAGUACAAUUCAGAUGUACAUGAACCAGAAACAAUUACCUCUGAAAGCAAUAUGAAAAUAUAAUACAAAAUAAUUCAGAGAGAACGAGACCAAUGCAAGCUUUAGUCUUUGUAUCACUCUGUAUUUCCAGUGUUUGCACUAAAAAAGUGCUUUACACUAUUGCCUUGGCCUUCACGCCCUUUUUUGACUGCUUUUCUUCAGCCAGGUCAGCCUUCACUAAUGACUCCAUUGUAAAAUGAACCAGAAAUGAAAACACCAAACAUAUGAUUCAGAAUCGAUCAAAUUUUUUUUCGUGUACAGUUUAUUUCUUUUGCAACUCAGUUUGCUUCAGGAUACUUAUAAAUAAAAUCUAGAAGUAUAGUACCCAUAGCACUCAAUUCUUCCAAUAAUUUUUGUUUAUGCGCUGUCUUAAAAUAAGGUAGAUAGGAGAAGUAGGACUCAAAGCUAAGUGUAAAAGUUAAAAAGUUUAAAAAUCACUAAAAUCCAAGACCAUCCUUUCUUUCCCUACCUUAAAUAUUUGUGAUUAAUGCACAAAUCAGCAGCUACCACAAUAUGGUCCACAAAAAUCUGAAAAUUCACAGCUGCUUCAUAGGAAUCCAAAGAGGACAGCUAACCACUGAGCUAAACCCUCCUCUUCACUUCAGAUAUCCUCAGACCACCAGCUCUGUCUCAUAACUCAGCACUCUACAGCUACUUUAUGAAAGUUAUAUGUACAUAUAAAUAAGGAAUAAGCAGAAUUUCUUGGGAUGAGGAAGUUUAAAGCUGCAAACAUAAAACUGACAGCUGAAACCAUAAGACAUUACACAUAAGUUAUAAAAGGAAGGAUUACUAUAGAUAAUGUAGAAGUUCAAAAAAUGUGUUUGGUCAGCAGCAUUAGCAGCAACGUAGAGAACAGUAAUAAUGGAAAGAGACAAUUUUCCAGUCACAAAUUCUUGAGGCGAGACCAUGCACUAAGAAAGAUUGGCAAAGGGCACUAUUCUAGCCUGGCUCCUUUGAAAAGUGUAACAGCUAGGAAAUGUGAUUUCCCAGUGAGAAUUUUAACUGUCAGCAUGGAAAACAAAUAUGGUUGGGGUUUUUUAUUUUCUUUCUAAUUAUUUGAAUUUUCUUUAGCUACAAGGCUAGCAGUUUAACCUAAAAAAAAAAGUCAAAUUAAAUUAUUUAAUGCAACUCUCAUGAACUUCUAGGAUUUCAAGUAUUCUCAUUUAUAAUCCAAGCACAGCAAAGUUUAAGUAAUCUUAGUUCAGAGCUGAAUAACCAAGAUAUACCAGCAAGCUUUAAAUGGUAAGGCUGGAGAAUCCUCAAUUAGUUUUAAAACUCCUUAAUGAAGCAUAUCAACAUAUGAGUCUGCAAACUGGGUCCUUAUCUGCACACACCUUAAAAGACUAAGUAAUUCAACCAGUUUAUAGAUAUAGUUUCUGAGAUUUUAGAUAUUUAACAGCAGGCAGACUUUUUUAAUUACAUGAGUUCCUGACCAAAUCUUUAAUUCCACUGUAAUAAUGCAUAAAAAGUUACAUUGUGCAUGCUGUAGGUCUAGUUUACUUCUUUAAAAAGUAAUAAUACUUUACGUAGGUAUAUAGGGGAUUUUUAUGGAAAAGACAAUGGAAUUUAUACAAAAAGACAUAGAAAGACUAAUGAGUAUUCUACUUGUGUUUGGGUAAGGCUAAUUAAGUUUUAGAAUCACUAUCCCAGGUAGAACCCUUCCCGCCCCAUAUACCUUUAUGAUAUUCACACAGUGAGAACAAUUAUUUAGGUAGCACAAUAAGUCUUAAAAAGCCUAAAGGUUUGUCAUAAAUCUAGUAAUAAAUAAAUACUAUUAGAAUAACAUGUUUUCCUGCACCUUUUGCCUCCUAAGAAAGGAGCUGUUCAGAAUUACAACUUAAUUCUCAGUUAUUUGCUUAGGUCAUCCUACACCGAGGAAUAUAUGUUUUCUUGAGCUAAAUCCUUAAUUAUAAGAAAAAUUUCAUUUUUCUUCCUUGUCAAAUACAAAAUAAAUGAUAGCAGCAUAGUCAGGACAUGCAGCCUUCCCAUUAAUAACAUAACAGCCAGAAGAAGAUAUCCACCAUUUUUAUAAAGUGCAAAUUCCACCUCCUUUUCAUCAAUAUUUCCCAUGGUUUUAACAGCAUCACCUCAACCAUUCAUAAACUAUUCUAGCAUUGUAUUAUUGCUAUGUCCAAGACCUCCAACCACCACCUCACCUUCCAUCCCUCUUAGUUAAAGUUGAUGUGAUUCCUUGCAGCUGAGGAUAAUUAGCUAACCUGCACAUUUUGGCACAGCUAGAUAAUGUCUUACCAGAAGGCACUAAUUACUUUCACUGUAGCUAUCACCACAUUUUCUCUAGCCAGCAAGAGUAUUAGUACAUUGAAACAUUGCACAUUGAAAGGCUGUCUCCAAGGGAUUUUGACAAACUCCUCAGUGGAUAGACUAGGAGUGAUUUGUCAGGGCUGGUGACAUAUUUUAUACCUUCUGCACUGAUAUUUCCCACCAGAUUUGCUAAAUCCAGGUUUAGUCAGAGAAAUCAGAGAACUGCUCAGAGCAAGUACUAUGUAGCUUAAGCUGAGCGUUUGAGAGGAACCAAGCUGUCUUUGUGUCUGUUCAGCACAAGAUUAGGUUUAGGCCUGUGCAAAUCAUCUGAAGUACAAGGCUGCAGGACUUCUGACAGGCUAAAAAAAUAUCUAAAGGACAAAAAGACAAAAUAAAACCCAAAAAACUCCCUCUGAUUUUAAAAAAAACAGGGCAUAAAUUUAACUGAAGGGAAACUCAAAUUGCAAGUAUCAACCUUAAGUUCCUCAAAAUGUAGAAAACCUACAAAACUGGUGUAUUUCAGUUGCCACAAAAUAUGUUCGAUACCAGGAAAUUCACCUUUGCUAGGACCUCACAUGGAAGCAAUCACAGGUACUUCAGACACUGCAAAAACAAAUGCAAAACUAUACCUUUACAAAUACUUUCCACAUACCUACAAAACCAUGGACUAACAUACUAAAUAUGCUGUUAUAAUGAUAAAACACAUAGCAAAAACUAUUUAAACAGAAGAUAACACAUCACAGCAUACGUUACAGUUGAGAUAGCCACAACACACAGAGUAUCACCACACAAUUUCAGAAUUUACUCAGAGUAAUACCUUAUCACAUCAGAAGGCUUCAGGCAUCUGUCCAAACAGAGUAACACCACACCACUUUGGAAGGCUGCAAGCAUCUGCU